rnacentral:miRNA from 1 species
GCAUUUUAGAGACCAACAAAGUUUGUUCUUGGUAUAAGCCUUCAUGGAAGAAGUGUGCAUGUGCAUGAAAGCUUAUACCAAGAACAAACUUAGUUGGUCUCUAAGGUGC